AGUGAACGCUGGCGGUAGGCCUAACGCAUGCAAGUCGAACGGCAGCACAGUAAGAGCUUGCUCUUACGGGUGGCGAGUGGCGGACGGGUGAGGAAUACAUCGGAAUCUACUUUUUCGUGGGGGAUGACGUAGGGAAACUUACGCUAAUACCGCAUACGACCUACGGGUGAAAGCAGGGGAUCUUCGGACCUUGCGCGAUUGAAUGAGCCGAUGUCGGAUUAGCUAGUUGGCGGGGUAAAGGCCCACCAAGGCGACGAUCCGUAGCUGGUCUGAGAGGAUGAUCAGCCACACUGGAACUGAGACACGGUCCAGACUCCUACGGGAGGCAGCAGUGGGGAAUAUUGGACAAUGGGCGCAAGCCUGAUCCAGCCAUACCGCGUGGGUGAAGAAGGCCUUCGGGUUGUAAAGCCCUUUUGUUGGGAAAGAAAAGCAGCAGGUUAAUACCCCGCUGUUCUGACGGUACCCAAAGAAUAAGCACCGGCUAACUUCGUG
rnacentral:rRNA from 1 species